ensembl:lncRNA
CAGAUUUCCACUUUUAUAUUAACCUUUGUUUAAAAUGAUGUAUUUUUAUUUAUUUCAACCUUUGAUUAAAAUGAAAAUAAUCCUUGUUUAGAAAUAAUAUAGAGCUGAGUGUGGUAACUCACACUAGAAGCCCAGCACUUGGGAGGAUGGAGGAGGAGGAUCUUCGCAAGUUCAAUCCUAAACUAUACAGUGAGCCUUCGACCAGACUAAACUAUAAAAUGUCUGACAUCAGCUCUGUGGAAGUUGCACAGUGGGAAAGUCCUGGCCUUGGAGUCUCAUGGUUCCCCUAACCAUCAUUCGAAAACACAGGCCCGUUCCCUGUUCUUCUGGAAACUUGAGCUCCUUAGCUUCAAAGCAAUGACCUUGAGAGUGUCCUAGGGCAGAAAAAUAUAACAAGACCCAAAAUGCAUUUCUUUAGCCUAUGUAAGGAAGCUGUUUCCUAACAUUGGGGCACUAAAAAGCCCAAAUAAAGGUAUUAUUUACCUUCAUAAAUUUUACUUAAUUACGAUGAUGAUACUAGAGUAGGCUUUU